UAGGGAAUCUUCCACAAUGGACGCAAGUCUGAUGGAGCAACGCCGCGUGAGUGAAGAAGGUUUUCGGAUCGUAAAGCUCUGUUGUUGGUGAAGAAGGAUAGAGGUAGUAACUGGCCUUUAUUUGACGGUAAUCAACUAGAAAGUCACGGCUAACUACGUGCCAGCAGCCGCGGUAAUACGUAGGUGGCAAGCGUUGUCCGGAUUUAUUGGGCGUAAAGCGAGCGCAGGCGGAAGAAUAAGUCUGAUGUGAAAGCCCUCGGCUUAACCGAGGAACUGCAUCGGAAACUGUUUUUCUUGAGUGCAGAAGAGGAGAGUGGAACUCCAUGUGUAGCGGUGGAAUGCGUAGAUAUAUGGAAGAACACCAGUGGCGAAGGCGACUCUCUGGUCUGCAACUGACGCUGAGGCUCGAAAGCAUGGGUAGCGAACAGG
rnacentral:rRNA from 1 species